AACCGGAGCCCAGAGCACCACGAGACGCCGCGGUAUCAACAUGGACGGCGACGGCAAUGGCGCUUCUGGCAAGGACAGGGACGAAAGGGAUGAAAGUGGCGAAAAACAAGAUAAUCUCAGGGUUACGAAGACGGGGCGUGUUCGCAAGCGUCGUCGUCGCCGCGGCAGGAAGGCAUCGCAGCCUGUGGAAGAAGCAGUUCCUCCUAUAAAAGGAUGGGUAAGUC